rnacentral:misc_RNA from 1 species
UGGGUUUGACAUGCACAGGACGUGCCUAGAGAUAGGUAUUCCCUUGUGGCCUGUGUGCAGGUGGUGCAUGGCUGUCGUCAGCUCGUGUCGUGAGAUGUUGGGUUAAGUCCCGCAACGAGCGCAACCCUUAUCUUAUGUUGCCAGCGCGUAAUGGCGGGGACUCGUGAGAGACUGCCGGGGUCAACUCGGAGGAAGGUGGGGAUGACGUUUACCGACAGCU